UACGUAGGGGGCAAGCGUUGUCCGGAUUUAUUGGGCGUAAAGAGCGUGUAGGCGGCUAGAUAGGUCCGUUGUGAAAACUCGAGGCUCAACCUCGAGACGUCGAUGGAAACCAUCUGGCUAGAGUCCGGAAGAGGAGAGUGGAAUUCCUGGUGUAGCGGUGAAAUGCGCAGAUAUCAGGAAGAACACCCGUGGCGAAGGCGGCACUCUGGGCCGGAACUGACGCUGAGGAGCGAAAGCGUGGGGAGCGAACAGG
rnacentral:rRNA from 1 species